rnacentral:rRNA from 1 species
ACAUGUCUUUUUGAAAAUAAUAAAAAGUCUAAUCUGCCCACUGAAUUUAUUUAAAGGGCUGCAGUAUAUUGACUGUACAAAGGUAGCAUAAUCAAUAGUCUUUUAAUUGAAGACUUGUAUGAAUGAUUUGAUGAAAUAUGAACUGUCUCUUUUUUAAAAAUAAAAUUUAAUUUUUUAGUUAAAAAGCUAAAAUAAUUAUAAAAGACGAGAAGACCCUAUAGAGUUUUAUAGUUAUUUAAUUUAAAAAUUUUAUAUAUAAUUUAAAUUUAAAAUUAAUUAAUUAUUUUAUUGGGGUGAUAGAAAAAUUAAAAAAACUUUUUUUAAAAAUUUAACAUUAAUUUAUGAAAUUAUGAUCCAUAAUUUAUGAUUAAAAGAAUCAAUUACCUUAGGGAUAACAGCGUAAUUUUUUUUUUUAGUACAAAUAAGAAAAAGAGUUUGCGACCUCGAUGUUGGAUUAAGAUAAAAUUUAAAUGCAAAAGUUUAAAAUUUUUGAUCUGUUCGAUCAUUAAAAUCUUACAUGAUCU